rnacentral:rRNA from 1 species
AGCGAACGCUGGCGGCAGGCUUAACACAUGCAAGUCGAGCGGGCACUUCGGUGUCAGCGGCAGACGGGUGAGUAACACGUGGGAACGUACCCUUUGGUUCGGAAUAACGCUGGGAAACUAGCGCUAAUACCGGAUACGCCCUUUUGGGGAAAGGCUUGCUGCCGAAGGAUCGGCCCGCGUCUGAUUAGCUAGUUGGUGGGGUAAUGGCCUACCAAGGCGACGAUCAGUAGCUGGUCUGAGAGGAUGAUCAGCCACACUGGGACUGAGACACGGCCCAGACUCCUACGGGAGGCAGCAGUGGGGAAUAUUGGACAAGGGGCGCAAGCCUGAUCCAGCCAUGCCGCGUGAGUGAUGAAGGCCGUAGGGUUGUAAAGCUCUUUUGUCCGGGACGAUAAUGACGGUACCGGAAGAAUAAGCCCCGGCUAACUUCGUG